rnacentral:lncRNA from 10 species
AGUUUAGCGUAAACCGGGAAGCGGAUCGCGUGGAGUGAAAGUCACCGCAGCGAUGAAGUUGCGCUCUUGUUGCCCAGGCUGGAGUGCAGUGGCGUGAUCUCAGCUCACUGCAACCUUUGCCUCCCGGGUUCAAGCGAUUCUCCUGCCUUAGCCCCCUGAGUAGCUGGGAUUACAGGCUGGAGUGCAAUGGCGAGAUCUCAGCUCACUGCAACUGCUGUCUCCCGGGUUCAAGCAAUUGUCCUGCCUCAGCCUCCUGAAUAGCUGGGAUUACAGGUGCCCACCACCACUACCAGGAGAUGGACAAACCAUGUGGGUGCCCUCCAGGUGUGUGCGACCAUGAAAUGGGAGACUAGCAGGACCCACGUUGGCCAACCGUGGACCUGGUCCCUCCAGUAGGAGUCGUGAGCCAGCUGAAUUUGAAUGCAAAGAUGGAGCAAGGGCCGACUGGAGUCACACUGACAUCCACCCCCAUAACAUGGGGACAGAUCAAGAAAACAAAGCAGGAAGCUGAGAAAAUGCUGGAGCAUCCAUGUGCUUGGCCAUGUUAGCAGUAGUGUCCUGUGAGGUAUGUUUC